rnacentral:rRNA from 1 species
GAUGAACGCUGGCGGCGUGCCUAAUACAUGCAAGUCGAGCGAACAGAUAAGGAGCUUGCUCCUUUGACGUUAGCGGCGGACGGGUGAGUAACACGUGGGUAACCUACCUAUAAGACUGGGAUAACUUCGGGAAACCGGAGCUAAUACCGGAUAACAUUUGGAACCGCAUGGUUCUAAAGUGAAAGAUGGUUUUGCUAUCACUUAUAAGUGGACCCGCGCCGUAUUAGCUAGUUGGUAAGGUAACGGCUUACCAAGGCGACGAUACGUAGCCGACCUGAGAGGGUGAUCGGCCACACUGGAACUGAGACACGGUCCAGACUCCUACGGGAGGCAGCAGUAGGGAAUCUUCCGCAAUGGGCGAAAGCCUGACGGAGCAACGCCGCGUGAGUGAUGAAGGGUUUCGGCUCGUAAAACUCUGUUAUUAGGGAAGAACAAAUGUGUAAGUAACUGUGCACGUCCUGACGGUACCUAAUCAGAAAGCCACGGCUAACUACGUG